rnacentral:lncRNA from 1 species
GCCAACACCGAGUCCUCCGACUGUGAGCGCCUCCAUCUCCGCUUCCGAUCCCGAGAUUUUCUUUUUUUUGGGUUGAUCUCUCGUGUGUGUGUGUGUGUGUGUGUGUGUGUGUGUGUGUGUCGGUGGGCGUGAUUAAUGAUGCCUCGGGUCCUCGCAGCCGCCGCUCUGGGGAAUCUCUACACCUCCUGGAACAGCCCGCCGCAGCUGGCCGGCUGGUCGGCCAGCGG